rnacentral:rRNA from 1 species
GACGAACGCUGGCGGCGUGCCUAAUACAUGCAAGUCGAGCGGACCGACGGGAGCUUGCUCCCUUAGGUCAGCGGCGGACGGGUGAGUAACACGUGGGUAACCUGCCUGUAAGACUGGGAUAACUCCGGGAAACCGGGGCUAAUACCGGAUGCUUGAUUGAACCGCAUGGUUCAAUCAUAAAAGGUGGCUUUUAGCUACCACUUACAGAUGGACCCGCGGCGCAUUAGCUAGUUGGUGAGGUAACGGCUCACCAAGGCGACGAUGCGUAGCCGACCUGAGAGGGUGAUCGGCCACACUGGGACUGAGACACGGCCCAGACUCCUACGGGAGGCAGCAGUAGGGAAUCUUCCGCAAUGGACGAAAGUCUGACGGAGCAACGCCGCGUGAGUGAUGAAGGUUUUCGGAUCGUAAAACUCUGUUGUUAGGGAAGAACAAGUACCGUUCGAAUAGGGCGGYACCUUGACGGUACCUAACCA